rnacentral:ncRNA from 1 species
AAAACGGCCCUUUUCAGGGCCAACAAUAAAAAAUUGAAGACUUUA